AGAGUUUGAUCCUGGCUCAGAGCGAACGCUGGCGGCAGGCUUAACACAUGCAAGUCGAGCGGGCGUAGCAAUACGUCAGCGGCAGACGGGUGAGUAACGCGUGGGAACGUACCUUUUGGUUCGGAACAACACAGGGAAACUUGUGCUAAUACCGGAUAAGCCCUUACGGGGAAAGAUUUAUCGCCAAAAGAUCGGCCCGCGUCUGAUUAGCUAGUUGGUGAGGUAACGGCUCACCAAGGCGACGAUCAGUAGCUGGUCUGAGAGGAUGAUCAGCCACAUUGGGACUGAGGCACGGCCCAAACUCCUACGGGAGGCAGCAGUGGGGAAUAUUGGACAAUGGGCGCAAGCCUGAUCCAGCCAUGCCGCGUGAGUGAUGAAGGCCCUAGGGUUGUAAAGCUCUUUUGUGCGGGAAGAUAAUGACGGUACCGCAAGAAUAAGCCCCGGCUAACUUCGUGCCAGCAGCCGCGGUAAUA
rnacentral:rRNA from 1 species